AAAUGCCAAAAAUAAUGUCUGGGUCUAUAUAAAGUUAAUCGCAUGGGUCAGACAAUGCCGAGUCAUAAAGAAAGGGAUUUAAUUUGUCUUUAAGAGGACCAAAGAUCACAUUGCAGUGCUUAAUCUGCUAUACCUGUUAUUUUUCCAAAUUAAGACAGAAUGGAACAAAAUUCCUACAGGUCUAAGGCUUGUGCAACAGGGUAUGUUCUCAAAAUCGACAAGUUGAGGGCUGCUUGAUGGAAGCUUUUACAUUAGACAUAUUCUUAUGUUCAGCAACUAGACAGCAUAAAAGAAUUGAAUGCUGGGAUCUGAAAAUUCACAUGAUAGCCAAGAUGUAGCUUCUUCAGAGUGCUAUAUCAUACUUUCAGGGGAAAAAAAUAAAAUACAGAGAGGAUGCAUUACAUUUAUCAGAAGUGACAGUAAUAACAUUUAUAAUGCCACGAAAGAUUUGUAUUUCAUAUAAAUGUCAUUCUUGUGAACUUGAUUCAUCAAAGAAUCGUGAAAAAUUAUAUCAUGAUCUUAAGUAAAUCAGCAUAAUUUAUUUCAUUCGUCAUUCGACACUGGAGACUGGAGUAAUGCCUGCUGACAAAUUCAGCGUUCCCAUCACAGGAAUAAAUUAAUAAAUUCAGCCUUGGUGAACAUAAGAGACACUUCAUGACUCAUCCAGGUCAGUGUUAAAAUGGUACAAGUGAAUCAGAGGAUUCUGGCUUUUCUACAACAGAGUUAAGUUUAUCUAAGAAGCAUUUAAUGCAUUAUUUGUCUAACAAUCAUGGGACUGAGUUUAUUUUGCAGAUAAUUAUGGCUUUUGUUGAGCUGAUGGUCAGGAUAAGCAUGUGUUCCGAGCCAUUAAAUUGUGCGCUUGUUCUGGAAGCGGCUAUACUUGUUUUGGUGUAGUUGAAACCAAAAACACUAGGGGAUUCCACACAUUAGCCCUGCCUAGUUUAUCCACAGGUGUUUCACUUUGGACUACUGAGACGUCACUAACCUGCAUAACAGUAGAGUACUGAAAAUCUCUUUCAGUACAGAGACGCCACAUAGAACAGUGCAUUUUUAUAUAUGUUAAGUAUAAAUAAUUGUUUACAAUAAUGUUAAGGGACAGUUUACCAAAUAAAUCAAAAAUUUUCUCUCCCAUAUGUUGUUUCAAAUAUAUCUGAGCUUAAUUAUUCUGUGGAGCACAAAAGACAGUGUCCAAUAUUACCCAUAAUGUCCACAUUGCCCAUACCGUCCAAUUGUCCAUCCAAUUAAAGUCAAUGGGGUCCAGAGUUGAUUUGGACCCCAUUGACUUUCAUUGUUUGUAAAAAAAAAAUAUAAUUCGAAAUAUCUUCGUUCGUGUCCCACAGAAGAAAAAAAAGUUAUACAGGUUUGGAAAGAGGGUGAGUCAAUGAUGAUCUUACUGUUAGUCCAAAUGAACCACCAAACAUUACCAAAUAAAAACUGCUGGAUCACAGAGGGGAAGUAACAGUUCCUAUAAAGAACACCAGAUUAUGGACAUCUGCUGAAUCCUCUAGAACUGAACACUCAGAAGUGGCCUACAAGAUCAAAAUGAAUACCAUUAUUAAGAUUUCUUUAUUUCUUUUAGUGAAUUCAGUGCAAAAAUACAAAAAGCAUGGGCAAAUUGCCAAUCAACCACACUAUAAUCAGCAGACGCCAAUUCAUUUUUAACAGCUGUCCUCAGAGUCAAGAUGAAUCCAAACCAGAAGCAAAGUAUUUGUUUCCCUUUCCUGAAGAGUUGCUAAUUCUGAUGGGCAAGUUUCUUUCUUGGGCAUGUGACAAUUGCUAUUAACAUACCGCCCUUUCCUUUUGUGUCUGAAAUAUAACUGAUAAGAAUGGCCCGGGCUGAUGCUGCUGGAAUCCCCCCGUGCAUCCUGCACUGUUGAUUCCGGAACGACCGGGGCGGUGAUCAUGGCACUUGGCAUAAUAUAUCACUUUCCCGAGAGCUACACAGAUGAUGCCUUUCCUUUUGGAAACCAGAGACUGGUCUGUCUGAAGUCUUGGGGUUCAGCGGCACCAGACAUCCUCCAGUCCAGUAUGGGACGCUCAAAUAGAGACCAUACCUAAUCUGAAGCUGCCAUUCUCCCCGCGCCGCAGAUUUUUACACAUGCAAAAUGGAUAUCAGAGCGCCUUGGCUGCUUGACAACACCAGCCUCUCUAACAAAGAGAGACUGGAGAGGAAAAUGAAUGAAAAUGAGAAAAGGACAGUGAGAGUCAAGGCGAUGCCCUGGACAGUUCAAAGGGUGCAUUCCUAGCAUUUGACAGAGGGUAAAUGAUGCAUUUCAACUCGAAUCUAUUUCCUCUGUUUCAACGAAGUCAACCAUGAAUAAUACAGACUCGCUUGAGAUGUUGUUAAGUGGUCUCAAGACACUAAAAGAUAAAAAAAAAUUAAAAACAAGUUGAACAUAUGCAAGUGAAAUCUUUUAAGCUGCUUUUAAGUCAAAAUAAAACAGACACAAAUGUAAUGGCAAACACCUGAUACCUGUAUACAAUUAGCAUGAUUUUCACAGAAGAGUGUUUUUGCUGAUCAUGUAAGCAAUUCAUACAAUUUACAAUUAUUCUUAAAUACAUUAAACAUUAGCAAUACAUUCUACUUCUGUGAUGUAGAGUGAAAAAAAACUUUGGGGAACUUGACCUUCCAGGUCACACUGGAGCUUCUACCUGAGUGUGGACAUAUGAGCAUGGAAGUUGAAAAUCGUUUCAAUGUAUACUAAGGAUAACACUUCUUUUUCAAAUCUAUUGCUAUUUGCUACCACUGCUGUAAUCUUUAUUAUGUAGGUAAACUGAGAUUUGAUUACUGUUGGAAAGGUUGCAUUAUCUAAACCAAUACCUAAAUUUGGGUAUUUGGCAACAAAAAAAAAAAAAAUUCACUGCAAGCACAUACUUACUUAUGGAAGCUGAAAAGAAAGGUCAUUUUAUCAAGAAGCAGUGACCCUACACUAUGAGGAAAAACAAAGUUUGGAUAUUUAUUUAAUAGCAAAACUACAUGAAUAAACAGGAAACAGUUGAAAUGUUGUUAUUCAUUGUUGUUCAUCUUUAAAAGCAGUUAUUCACAGAUCUUUAGAAGCAGAUGUGUUGCCUUAAAAAAAGCAAUCCAUAUUUCCUGUAUUUAAACACAAGCAUGCAGGUGUUGU